rnacentral:rRNA from 1 species
GACGAACGCUGGCGGCAUGCUUAACACAUGCAAGUCGAACGGAAAGGCCCUGCUUUUGUGCGGUGCUCGAGUGGCGAACGGGUGAGUAACACGUGAGUACCCUGCCCUUGACUUUGGGAUAACUUCAGGCAACUGGGGCUAAUACCGGAUAGGAGCUCCUGCUGCAUGGUGGGGGUUGGAAAGUUUCGGCGGUUGGGGAUGGACUCGCGGCUUCUUAGCUUGUUGGUGGGGUAGUGGCUUACCAAGGCCUGGACGGGUAGCCGACCUGCGCGGGUGGCCGGCCAAGCUGGGCCUGAAAUAAGACACAGACUCCAACCGUAGGCAAGGGAGGAGAGUAUUACAUAAGAGGAGGAAGCCAGGUGUAGUCACGCCGUGUGCGGGAAGACGGGCUGGGGGUAGGAAACCGCUUCUGCUUUUGACGAGACGGGAAUGACGGUACUGGGUGAAGAAGCACCGGCUAACUACGUG